AUUGAACGCUGGCGGCAUGCUUUACACAUGCAAGUCGAACGGUAACAGGCCUUCGGGUGCUGACGAGUGGCGUACGGGUGAGUAAUGCAUCGGAACGUGCCCAGAGGUGGGGGAUAACGCAGCGAAAUCUGUGCUAAUACCGCAUGUGAUCUGAGGAUGAAAGCGGGGGACCAGGCAGCAAUGUUUGGCCUCGCGCCUUUGGAGCGGCCGAUGUCAGAUUAGGUAGUUGGUGGGGGUAAGGGCUACCAAACCGACGAUCUGUAUCGCGUAUGACAGGGAGACUAGACACACUGGGACAGAGAAACGGCCCAGACUCCUACGGGAGGAAGCAGUGGGGACUUUUGGACAAGGGGGGAAAGCCGGAUCUAGCACUGCCGGGUGAGGGAAGAAGGACUUCGGGCUGUAAACCGCUUUUGUACGGAACGAAAAGGAUCUGGCUAAUACGUGGGGAUGAUGACGGUACCGUAAGAAUAAGCACCGGCUAACUACGUG
rnacentral:rRNA from 1 species